AUGACAGCCCCAGAUGCCAGAUGACUAAUAGAACCACUCCCUUCCUCUGACCUCACAGGAAGGUGAGUCCUUCGCCCAUUCAGCCUGCUGAGAAACAUGGCUGUGACUCGGGAAAGAAAGAAAACAGAUCCCAGUUCCUUGGAUGUACAUCUACUGCUACCGAGGUCACCAUGGCAGUACCACUCAGCCCCAAUCCAGGGGCUGAAGUGAAUGUUGUGGAGUUCAAGGAGUAUAAGUGUUCUUGGGUGGGAGAGAAUGAACUGCAGUUUGAAGACCGAAGAUCAAGUUCUGUUAGACCUGAAGCAGCUCUCGGCUCCCUGGACACCAAAGUGCAGAAACAUGGAGGUGUAAAGUACAAAGAUGAUGUGGAGUCUCUGCUUGGGGAGAAGCCGCAGCCCAAAGAGCAGCAGCUGUCUGCGGAGCUUCCCCUGACCGAGCAGCUCAGGGCGUCCAUGUUGCUCAUUCGAGAGCAGAAACGGGAGCUCUCUGAGUUAACCAGGAAGCUGAAAGAAGGGAGAGCAGUGUCAUUGCUGCUGAAGGAGUCUCUGGAGGUCCUCCUCAGUCGAAGUCACCCUGACACUGAGCACAGCUGGCUACAGGGACUGGCUGCAGGGUGCAGGCUGGCAGAGCAGCUCGUCCACAUGCUCAACCUAGGACCUGAAGACAUCCGCAACCAAGAGGAAGUGGUGCGGGAGGGAGUGUCCACCUGGGAUCAAACUCGGGUCCUUCUGCCUUCGGGGACAGGCGGCGGCGGAACCACUGAGCUAAAUCUCUGGCUGCAGGACUUUUCUUGGGUCCGGUUUGGAGCUACUUCCUCACCUCCUGGCUUUUGGCUUAAAUCAGUCUUUUGAAUAUGAAUGUUUGACCCCAUAAAGGAGGAGCAGGAAUGCUGGCUCGUGGUUUUUCUAGUUUAGAACAGGCUCUGGGACAAGAAGGGAACAGGGGAGCUGAGGCCUGCCUGGCCCUGUCUUUCUUCCCACCAGUUUUGUAUUACAGGAGUGGCUGGAGACAGUUUCAGAUGAGUAUUUAAUUUGUAAAUAUUAUACAGAUUUUAAUAGCUUAAAUUGUAUAUACAGCCAAAUAAAAACUUGCAUUAAAAAAUUAAUAAAUAAAACUUUUUUAAAAAGUUUUUUAUACUGAGGAUUGAACUCAGGGUAAGUAACAACAGAGAUUGUGUCCAUAGUGCAAGAAAUGAUUAAUAACUCUAGAGCAGACACAGAUAAAAAAAAAUAGAGGAGCUGAGGAACAUGAUGGGAUCCCAGCAGGGUAGACAAAUGGAAUUCAUAACACACAUACAAAUAUAUAUCCAGGAGAUUAAAAACUCCACUGAUAGUUUACACAGCAGAAUGAGCCAUUGUGAGGGCAGAAUAUCAGAUAUAGAAGACAGUAUUUCAAUUAGUGACCAAGAAAAGAAAAAUUUCUUAAAAGUAGCAAAGGACCACAAGAAAUCAAUCCAGCAGCUGCUAGACAGUGCAAAGAAGAAUGACAUAAGACUAAUCAGAGUCAAAGAAAAAGCAGGAGAGAGAGCAAAUGAUAUUAAAAAAACUGUUCAGAGAAGUAAUGGCAGAAAACUUCCCAAGCACUGGAAAAGAACUUGACAUACAGAUAAGUGAGGCAUAUAGGACUCCUACCAGAUGUGAUCCAAAAAAAUCUACACCUAGACAUAUAAUAGUUAAGAUCCCAGAUCACCUGCCUCAAAAACCACAAGGUCCUCAGUUUGAUCCCUGGCACAAAAAAAAAAAAAAAACCACAAAAAUUCCAAAAACCCAACAGAAGAACAAAAUACUACAAGCAGUUAGAGAAAAGAAACAAAUCACAUACAAAGGAAAGCCCAUCAGAAUCACAGAAG
rnacentral:lncRNA from 1 species